AGUGAACGCUGGCGGUAGGCCUAACACAUGCAAGUCGAACGGCAGCACAGUAAGAGCUUGCUCUUACGGGUGGCGAGUGGCGGACGGGUGAGGAAUACAUCGGAAUCUACUUUUUCGUGGGGGAUAACGUAGGGAAACUUACGCUAAUACCGCAUACGACCUACGGGUGGAAGCAGGGGAUCUUCGGACCUUGCGCGAUUGAAUGAGCCGAUGUCGGAUUAGUUAGUUGGCGGGGUAAAGGCCCACCAAGGCGACGAUCCGUAGCUGGUCUGAGAGGAUGAUCAGCCACACUGGAACUGAGACACGGUCCAGACUCCUACGGGAGGCAGCAGUGGGGAAUAUUGGACAAUGGGCGCAAGCCUGAUCCAGCCAUACCGCGUGGGUGAAGAAGGCCUUCGGGUUGUAAAGCCCUUUUGUUGGGAAAGAAAAGCAGCAGGUUAAUACCCCGCUGUUCUGACGGUACCCAAAGAAUAAGCACCGGCUAACUUCGUG
rnacentral:rRNA from 1 species